GUCACCAGAUCUGGCCUCAACAUAUCAAGAAGAACCCAGAGUUCCCGGACUCUCACCUCCUAAAUCUUUGGGUGUGAUCCUCAGGAGAUUCAGCAUACCUUUAACACAUGAACCAUUUAUUAUAAUAGCUUUUGAAAGCCUAUAUUUACUGGUGUGGACAUUUCAUUAAGAGCCUGUCACAUUUUUAAAAUAAUAAUAUCCAUGAGCAAGUCACCUGUCAAGAUCUACAAAAGGAAGACCCUGUACAACUCAUUUGUUUCAGGGAAAGGGAGACAUUGGGUGACAGCUAGAGCCUAAAAAGACACACAGAUAUGUGUCUGCUCAGAAGUAAGUCCAAGUAAGAUCAACAGGACUUCCUUUCAGGUAGGUGAGUAGAAGAUUACAGCCUUGUAUGUUUGGGUUUUAUGGGGGAAAGAUUAUACAGUACAAUCUCAUGCACCUCUAUUCAGUUUAGACUUACUUCUGAGUAGACAUGGAUAGGAAUGCGCUGCUGUUAAUUCAUUUUAAUUUUGUAUAUAGUUCAAUAGACUGCUAUAGAACAAGGAAAUAAAUCGGCUAAAUAAGCAAAAGAUGUUUUCAAAGUGUGAACAUCCUUUCCAUGAGAAUAAAUGUGCCUGGGCAAUGAGUCCUGCCUGCCCCCAUUAAAGUGAAUGACAAACUUUCCUUUGCCUUCACAGGAGCUAAGAUUUCACUCAAUGUGACACAAGCAGAUUAUUUCCAAACAGACUGUCUUUUUGUGUUUUCUAGAAGGCAUCAGGGCUUCUUUAAAACUGAACAGUGGCCAGGCACGCAAUAGGCAAUGUGGUUCCCUUCUGCACAUACAUAAAAGCCCAGCUGAGGAUGUCAUGGGGUUUUCAGGAAGUAAAGACACCCAGAGAGGCUGCAUGGGUGCAGAUUUGAAGACUGAAAGAAAAGGACGCACACAAACAUCCCUUGGCCACCUCAGAACAUUUCACAGAAUCUUCUGUUGACCUCUCGGUUCAGAAUCGUUCCUACCAUAGUAGCAGCUGUCCCUGCCGAAGAAAUCAUGGAUUCAGUUAAAUUCCCCCCAAGCAUCUCGAGGCCUUUAGGCAUGUGC